CACGUAGGGUGCGAGCGUUGUCCGGAAUUAUUGGGCGUAAAGAGCUCGUAGGCGGUGUGUCGCGUCGGCCGUGAAAACUUGGGGCUUAACCCUGAGCUUGCGGUCGAUACGGGCAUGACUGGAGUUCGGCAGGGGAGACUGGAAUUCCUGGUGUAGCGGUGAAAUGCGCAGAUAUCAGGAGGAACACCGGUGGCGAAGGCGGGUCUCUGGGCCGAUACUGACGCUGAGGAGCGAAAGCGUGGGGAGCGAACAGG
rnacentral:rRNA from 1 species